GUGGGGGACAUUCCACGUUUUCCGCGCCGUAGCUAACGCAUUAAGUGCCCCGCCUGGGGAGUACGGCCGCAAGGCUAAAACUCAAAGGAAUUGACGGGGGCCCGCACAAGCGGCGGAGCAUGCGGAUUAAUUCGAUGCAACGCGAAGAACCUUACCAAGGCUUGACAUGAACCGGACCGCUGCAGAAAUGUGGUUUCCCCUUUGGGGCUGGUUUACAGGUGGUGCAUGGUUGUCGUCAGCUCGUGUCGUGAGAUGUUGGGUUAAGUCCCGCAACGAGCGCAACCCUCGUUCUAUGUUGCCAGCACGUGAUGGUGGGGACUCAUAGGAGACUGCCGGGGUCAACUCGGA
rnacentral:rRNA from 1 species